UUGAACACGUUCUUUGCUUAAUCGAACGAAUUUUGUAAACCUGGUAAUCGCUUGUAUAAUCAGUUUUGCACCAGUCAAGCAAGAAACAUUUGAAUGAAUAUAAUUUAGUAACCUGUGAUAGAUAUAACAAACGAAGUUGCCUAACCAGUGGAUCAAUCAUCCUUAAUUAAUCACUUUUCUAUUAAUUGAUUUUCGUUUCUCUAACCAACAAUUAAAACCCCAUAAUUUCAUUGUGUUAUUUAUCAUUCUUAUUUUUCCUAAUUAUUAAAUCAGAGGUCCUUGUGAGACGACCAAGGUUUUAAUUACCUUGUUACUACGUUUUAUACUUAUAAUACUUAUUUUUGACCGCGCACGACAGCGAUCAAAUUGGCGCCGUUGCCGGGGAUCUCUGAUUAGAAUUAGUAAAAUUAAGAAUCAACUAACAUCACUAACAUUUGUUUUGAGUUUUUGCUGUGUUACAGGUUCUGACGUUGAAUUUUGCAUUGAAGUUGAAAAAAUAACCUGUUUUCGGUCAACUGCUCAGAUUGGCUCGAAAUUUGGUCAAAAAAUCAGAAACAAAUCGAUGAAUAAUACUUUCGUAUUAAAGAUACGAAAAUUCAGGCUGAAAAUCCAGAAUUCCUUCGUUUAUACCACUUUUUAUUUUUUUUUAAUUUUCCAUAUAUUUAAAAAAAAAUCCGAAAAAAGUAUAUUUAGAUUUGUUUGAUUUUUAGAGAUUUAAGGUGGUAUUUUUAUCUUUUUUAGAUUUUAUUUGACACAGUUUUUAAUUUUUCUCUUCAUAUUUUUUUUAACCAAAAAAAAAAACCUAAAUAAAAAAAUUACAAACAUGGCUAUUCCUCCUAAGCCACCGAAUUUUGUACUAUUAUACAAGUUCACGUGCUAUUUGCUUUUUCUUGUUUCAUGUGUUCGUAGUGCAGCAAGGCCUCCACCUAAACCACCAGACAGAGAAGCUACAGUUGUUACACCUUAAUCCUCGGGUGUGUUCCUUCCUUAUUCUCGCUUUAUGCUUAUUGUUACAUUGCGGACAAUGUCUGAUUUAAGCGUGGGGGCAACAUUUAGUUAUUUUAUUUUUCUGUCAAUUAAAAAAAAUUAUAAAAAUAAAUUUAGCAUGCAUGAAAUUGUUAUGAGUAGUUACAUGUUUUAGGACUAGAGCAAUAUAGCUGUAGGAUUGGUGAAAUUUUUGGAAAUUCUCUUUUUCAUGCUUGAUAUGAUGAUCUUUGCACCUUAAUGCACAACUGCUGAAAAACUUGCAAACUUAGUAGUGGCUUGAUAAAUCUUUANNNNNNNNNNNNNNNNNNNNNNNNNNNNNNNNNCGGUCAUUAUCCUAAGUUGUUUGAGUAUAGAAUACGAUAAAGAGGUAUGAUUAGGACUAAGUUUGGGGGAAAACUGGAUUACUUGAUUGUAGGAUCAUGGCUAGAUUAAAUGAUGGGAUACUACACAAUAAAANNNNNNNNNNNNNNNNNNNNNNNNNNNNNNNNNNNNNNNNNNNNNNNNNCUGUGCCCGAAACUGGAGGAACAAUAAUAUGAAUAUGUUGAGUUGAUGUGUCUAAAACUGGAGGAACAAAUGCUGUGUAGGGUGCUCUAUUCGGAGUAACAGGUUGGACUCAUUACAAGUGAGAUCCCGUCAGGUGAACAGAUAGAGUAGCACCUAAAGCAUAACUAAAAUGAACUUAAGUAGUAUCCCUGCGUAUAAAAAUCAAAAAGCCUGUGAGAACAAGAAAAGAAUAGCUUCCCCUCAAGCUGAAAUCUAAACUCAAACUAUAAGUUGUAGGAAAGAAAAGGUAGCUUAGUAUCUUGACUGUGUAGUAUUUGAGAAGGAUCAUGUCAUGACUCUGGUUGACAGUAAUAGGCAGUACACACACACGCUUGAUUAUCAUUGAUGGUUGAUAUACAAGAAUUAUGCCAAUCUUUGAAAUACAAUUCAUGGUUUGAGCUUGAAUCUUAGAAUGUGUUGAUUGCUUAUGACGUUGUAUCAUGCUUUGUUAUCUCUUCAAAAAAAAAUAAUAAUAAUUUACUUUAGUCUUUAAACUUGAGUUUUGCUCAGGAGAGCAAAAGAAUAAGUGUGGGAGAAUUUGAUCAGUGCAUUUUGGCACAUAUUUUAUGGCUUUGUACUUUGACAUAUUGCAAGCUUUUAUAGCCUAAUAUUAACUUUUUAUCAUGUUUCUAAACUUUGGGUCAUAAUUGGGCUCUAAUGUAUUUCUUUGAUUAAUUUUCGGAUUUAAUUGCAUGUUGAUCCUUCUCAGUCAGCAGGUCAUAACUUGAGCUACGAAUAUUGGAUUGAGGUGUGCAAAUAUGCGUUGGAAAGAUAAGAGAAAGAGAUACAACCUUCAUGUUAAGGCCAGAACCCAGUUCGGAGAGCAAAGCAGUCAUAUAUUUACAUUUAUGUUCCAGACUUUAUGAAAAUAAUGUAAUUUCGGGUCAAACUUAUGUUUUUCGGCCCGUAGCUUUUUAAGCCCAAUUUUCUCUGAGUAUUUAAGCAAAAACACAGCUAGGGUUUCAUCAAUUCUGAAUUUACGAAAUAGAAAAGAACAGAGGCUGCUUUGCUCUAAUGGAAGCCUAAAAACCCUUGGUUGGUUCAUUGGUGACGGAAACUCGUUUGCAAAUUCAUGAGGUUCGGAUUCUAAUAAUAAUUUCAUUCAUAUGUCUAUUGCUUCUUUAUGUCAGUUUCAUGUUUCUUUGAUUAUUCUAUGCAUGAAUUCGUUUGAUGCUUAAUCUUCUCGAGUUUAUGUUUUCAUAAUUAUUCGAAUCAAUUCAACGCUUGUUUGAAUUUAUUCGAAUAGAAACUGAUAUAAUCUAUGGCGCUUAGCAAUAGGGCUGGCCAGAUUUUGUUAGGAUAUUAGUCGCGUUGUUAGUGACGCUUGUUCACUUCCCUCGAUUGGUUGAACACGUUCUUUGCUUAAUCGAACGAAUUUUGUAAACCUGGUAAUCGCUUGUAUAAUCAGUUUUGCACCAGUCAAGCAAGAAACAUUUGAAUGAAUAUAAUUUAGUAACCUGUGAUGGAUAUAACAAACGAAGUUGCCUAUCCAGUGGAUCAAUCAUCCUUAAUUAAUCACUUUUCUAUUAAUUGAUUUUCGUUUCUCUAACAAACAAUUAAAACCCCAUAAUUUCAUUGUGUUAUUUAUCAUUCUUAUUUUUCCUAAUUAUUAAAUCAGAGGUCCUUGUGAGACGACCAAGGUUUAAUUACCUUGUUAAUACGUUUUAUACUUAUAAUACUUAUUUUUGACCGCGCAUGACAGCGAUCACACAUUUACAUUUGUGUACGAUACACCUUGGUUCAAGACCCCGGCGACAAUACAUAUCUCGACAUUCAACGUCUCUGUUACAUCUAUUAUUACGCCCUGUAUUGAAAAAAGAGAUGAAAAUAAUAUAACUGAAAUGAGACAUUACAUUCGGUAAUAAGUUAAGAAGAAAAUUUUAAAAGACAAAAACCGACUUACAAUCUAUGUUUGUUGAAACAAGAAAUGCAGAAAGAAUGAAAAUCAUAACAAACUUGACAAUUUCACACAUAUUUUCUCCUUUUACAUGUAAUAGUUUUAUCACUUUAUUAUGUAUAAAUAUCGUUAUGCUUUAAAAAUAAAUAUUAUAAAUAUCAUUAAUCUCGUUACAUCAAUUAAAU
rnacentral:lncRNA from 1 species